UGAAUCUAGCGGUCUGGCCUGCCCACUGAUUCCUAAAGGGCCGCGGUAUACUGACCGUGCGAAGGUAGCAUAAUCACUAGUCUUUUAAUUGAAGGCUCGCAUGAACGGUYGAACAAGGGGUAACCUGUCUCAAUCAUAAAYAUUAAACUUAACCUUUAAGUGAAAAGGCUUAAAUAAYCUAGAAGGACGAUAAGACCCUGUAAAACUUCACACCACUGAARUGAACUCCGAAUUGUUUGUAAACACCUGUUCACUUCCCAACGUGUUUCAUUGGGGAGAUGGGAGCAUAAACCCAACUGCYYCUAACAUCAAACAAUAAUAUUUGCCUUUAACGAUCCUUUYUAAAGAAUACAAGNAAAAGUUNCUUNCGGGNAAACNGCCUUAUUUUUUUUAAGAGUCCCUAUCGACAAAAAAGUUUGCGACCUCGAUGUUGAAUUAAAAUUUCCUUCUGGCGCAGCAGCUAAAAAGGAGGGUCUGUUCGACCUUAAAAUUUUACAUGAUUUGAGUUCAG
rnacentral:rRNA from 1 species